rnacentral:rRNA from 1 species
AAAUUGAAGAGUUUGAUCAUGGCUCAGAUUGAACGCUGGCGGCAGGCCUAACACAUGCAAGUCGAACGGUAACAGGAAACAGCUUGCUGUUUCGCUGACGAGUGGCGGACGGGUGAGUAAUGUCUGGGAAACUGCCUGAUGGAGGGGGAUAACUACUGGAAACGGUAGCUAAUACCGCAUAAUGUCGCAAGACCAAAGAGGGGG